GACAUAACUCAGUGGCAGAGAACCUGCCUUGCAAGCUGAAGGGCCCAGGUUCAAUCUCUGGCAUCCA